rnacentral:ncRNA from 1 species
AAAAAGUGUAAAAAGAAAUUAUUAUGAAUAAUUUGCUAUAAACCAAAAGAAGAAUGAAUAGGCUAAGAGAAAUCUAAUAAGUAAACAAGAUGAACAGAAAAAUCUAAUUAAUCUUAGGAAAAAAAAUCAAACGAGAUUCUACAUAUAAUGAGAAGAAAAGUAGAGUAGCCAAGCCAAGUAAAAUGGAUUUUCUGUUUGAAUAAAGGGGAACCUUCCUCUAAGGCUAAAUAUGGUUUAUACGCAAUAGUGUAUAGUUCCGUGAGGAAAUAGGUUUAAUAGUAAUUUUAUAAGCAGCUCAAGAAAAAAUAAAAAAAACAAGAGCGUACCUUUUGCAUAAUGGGUCAGCAAGUUAAUUUUAGAUGCAAGACAAACUAUAUAACUAUGUGAAAAAAAGCAUAGAAUAGUAUGAAUACUUAGAGAAAUCGAUUAUGAAAAAAUGAGCAAGUAUCUAAAAUUAGACCCGGAGACUAGUGAUCUUACCAUUAUCAGGAUUAUAAAAGUCCGAACGGGUUGUCGUUGUAUAGACAUCCGAAGAAUGGUGGUAAGUAAGUGAAAGACAAAACUGACUAGUUAAGCUGGUUUUCCGCGAAACCUAUAUUAGUAGGUAAUUUAAGUAACAUCUUAGCAGGUACAGAACUGUGAUCUCGGUCAAAAAAGUCCUUUUCAAUAUUUUUCUAAUCCAAAAAUAAAAAGGAAAAUUUUGUAUAUAUCGGGGGAUCGUAAAGAUUUUAUCGGAGAGUAUUUGCACUCGGAAGGGUUAAGAUGAAUAUUAAAUAAUCGGACAUAGUACGAAAGGUUGUAUGUCUAAAGGGAAACAGCCCAGAACAAGAGUUUAAGGUUCCAAAAUUAUUGUUGAGUGAAAUUAAGGAUGUGUCUUUGAAUACAAUCAUUUAAUGGGCUUAGAUGCAGCCACUUUUUAAUGAUCUCGUAACAGAGCGUUGAUUUGUUUUAGGAGUACACACCGAAAAUAUAACGGAUCUAAAUAAUAUACCGAAACCUUGUCCAUAUAUUGUUUAAAUUAAACAAAAGAUAUAUGGGGUAGCGGAACAUUGGAUAUAUAUCUAGCUUUGUUCUUUAUAAGAAUAAAAAAAA